GCGCCUUUAGCUCAGUUGGUAGAGCAGCUGACUCUUAAUCAGCGGGUCGGAGGUUCGAGCCCUCCAAGGCGCA
rnacentral:tRNA from 1 species